GUCUCCGUGGCGCAAUCGGCUAGCGCGUUCGCUGUUAACUGAAAGGUUGGUGGUUCUAGCCCACCUGGGGACG
rnacentral:tRNA from 1 species